ACUAUGCUAAAUGCCUAACAGAUAGGAACUCACAUUACUCCCACAACAACCAUUUGAGGUCAUACAUUUGCUGCUGAAGCCUUCCUGUGGGCUGGGGACAGUGCAGUAUGGGCAAAUGGUCAAGUCCCGACGGCCCACCCCUGAACACACCCAUCUUUGGACACACCCUGAAGGCUUAUGCCCAGGGCUCCUGUGAACAACUAAGGUUCCAGAUCUUGUCAAGCUGGCCAUCAGUAUCAACCAUCAGAGAGGCUGUGAACAUCUACGGCAUGGGUGAACUCUUGAUAGCUGGUCACCAAUCUUGGGAGAGAGAGUCUUGGCUCUGAGGGUGAGGCAGGCACUGUGAUGACCCAUCUGACGUCAGAGUUCUCAAAGUCCGACCCUGCCUGGUCACUCAGUUCCUAAUGCCGAGAAGAAUAAGUGUAGAAGGAACUGCCAAAUCUGUUCCAAGAUGCUGAACCGUUUCACCUUCCCACCAGCGUUGCCUAAGAACACAUUCAGGAGCUGGAGAGAUGACUGGGUAGUUGAAGAGCACUGACUGCUCUUCCAGAGGUCCUGAGUUCAAAUCCCAGCAACCACAUGGUGGCUCACAACCAUCUGUAAUGGGAUCCGAAGCCCUCUUCUUGUGUGUCUGAAAAUGGCUACAGUGUACUCAUAAAUAGAAU
rnacentral:lncRNA from 1 species